rnacentral:rRNA from 1 species
CCUACGGGUGGCAGCAGUGAGGAAUAUUGGUCAAUGGACGUAAGUCUGAACCAGCCAUGCCGCGUGCAGGAAGACGGAUCUAUGGUUUGUAAACUUCUUUUGUAGGGGAGUAAAGGUAGCCACGCGUGUAUAUUUGCAUGUACCCUACGAAUAAGCAUCGGCUAACUCCGUGCCAGCAGCCGCGGUAAUACGGAGGAUUCAAGCGUUAUCCGGAUUUAUUGGGUUUAAAGGGAGCGUAGAUGGGUUGUUAAGUCAGUUGUGAAAGUUUGCGGCUCAACCGUAAAAUUGCAGUUGAUACUGGCAGUCUGGAGUGAAGUUGAGGUAGGCGGAAUUCGUGGUGUAGCGGUGAAAUGCUUAGAUAUCGCGAGGAAC